CUGAUAAAACCACUUCCUCAGGCAGAGAAUUCCACAUCCUUAUUGUUCUUACAUUAAAAUAACUUUCCUUUGCUUUAGACAAACUCUUCUUUCUUCCAGUCUAAACACAUGACCUCGUGUCCUAUGUAAAGUGAAUAGAUUUGCACACAAUGGUUUGUAUUGGCCCCGAUAUUUGUAUAAUGUUAUCAUAUCCCCUCUCAGGUAAUGUUUUUCUAAAUUAAAUAGGUUCAAAU